GGUAAGUUUAUGAACCAAACAAGUGUGUGUAUCUAACAUGAGUCAUAACAGGUGAAACUGCAUACUUUUUCUAUUGAUGAUUCGUACCAAUUGCAAAGCCGUACACCAAAGAAUGUGGUAAUGAUGCUAAUGCUAUACAUUGAAAGAAAGCCAAAUCAAGCAAUGGUGAACUGGUGGUCUCAUUGUUGAAUUAACAAAGAACCAAUUUCCGUAUCUGCUUCUUCAGAAUGACCACGCAUCAUGCAGGUGGCCAUUGAGGCCAGUGACAGUGGCACCCCAUCACUCAGCUCUCAAAUCACCCGUCAACGUUCUGGCCGUCCGACAUUAACGACAAUCUCCCGGAGCGUGAGGUGAGGGGAGGGGUUUUGUAUAUGCAGUCAAAUAAUUUCAUAAACUGCAUUGUCUAUAUCUGCCCUUUGCACUCUUGUCAGUUCUCCAUUCAAUAACCAUGCAUACCCCCUCUCAACAUGCAUUAGUAUUUGGGUGACGAUAUAGCUAGCAUUGUAAGUACGUUGGGACCAUAACAUGUUUAUGUCUGUAUGGUAGAUUAGGCGUGCAAUACUGUUUAUCGGUCAGUAGAUUGUUGUCAAGGCUCGAGAUCAUUAUGUGCUGCAAGGGGUCAAUAAAACAGUGGCGUAAGGACGCAAUUUCUCAACAGGGGGCUCUAGUUUUUGAAUGGAAAAAAGUACAUAUAGAGCAGCUUGAUAAGUUAUCUAUAAUUUGUCACUGCAUAUACUUUAUGUCAAAGGUCAAAAGGUUAACGAUGUAUGGCAAAAUAUCUGGACAUCAUUGCCUGAUAGGGCAAUAUGCAAUCCUAGCCUCGAUCCCAGGCCGAGUUUUCGCUUUUAUAACGGUUAGGCGAACAACUGGGCCUGGUACUAGUUGUCUGCGCAUGCGUCAGUCGUUCGUCAGAUUCUGACGAAUGGAUAUUCUCGUUCACUUUCGUGACAUUUAUAUUCGUGUACUAUCGUGUACUAGAAGUCAGUUCCCGUUUUAUCAUUAUUGGAAUCGAUUGGAAUGGCUCUUAGCUGAAGCUUCUCUCUUCUCUGAAGCUUAUUCUGAAGACUGAACAACAAGGGAAGAGGUAUAAAGCUUUGUCAAGCUUGUUAAGGUCAGAUAUUUUUGUGUGGGCCCUAUGGCCGGCUAUGCUAUCAAGUCUUGUUCAUGUUUGGCAAGAAUGUAGGUAGACUAUAGUUUCAUCAUUAAUAUGGUGGAUCAAGUGAAGAGUGUGAGCUAGAGAACUUGGUGCUGCCAUCAUCAGCUCGUCGACAAUGACACUAUAACCGAGAAAUUUAAUAUGUAUAGAUCUACACGUAUUUAAAAUGUCUACUUCUCUGUACAGGAGCAAUGGCUAAUAUCCAGCUAUCCCAACAGUGCUCCUCUUGGCUAUACUAACGGACGAGACUGGACAGUUUGAGACACAGGACUGGAGUAUGACCUGCUCAUUCGAGCGUUGCUGGGUAGCUCAGAGACAUCAAGAGAAUCUACGUUUUCUCAAGCAAUGAGUUACGAGUUGGGGCCUAGAAUCAGAGAAGUCCAGCAGCCUGCUAAAUCUUUUUGAAACGUAAUUUGAAGGCAUUCAAUCAUCCUGAAGUUGCCCUGGGUCACUGUAAUUGUGCUGCAGCACAACUGGCAACUCCCCAGGCCUUUGUGAAGCAGCUCCCUAUGUGCAUCUUUUGUGUACUCACUCUGUGCAUUUUCUGUGUACAAAUUUCGAUUAUUGAUUUAUUAAAUAUUUUUGCCGACCACAAA